rfam:Desulfovibrio alaskensis G20, complete genome.
GGGGGCGUAGCUCAGCUGGGAGAGCACCUGCCUUGCAAGCAGGGGGUCAUCGGUUCAAAUCCGUUCGCCUCCA